UACGAAGGGGGCGAGCGUUGUUCGGAAUUACUGGGCGUAAAGGGCGCGCAGGCGGCCUCUUGAAGUCAGAUGUGAAAGCCCCGGGCUCAACCUGGGAAUGGCAUUUGAUACUCGAGGGCUUGAGUACGGGAGAGGAGAGUGGAAUUCCCAGUGUAGAGGUGAAAUUCGUAGAUAUUGGGAAGAACACCGGUGGCGAAGGUGGCUCUCUGGACCGUAACUGACGCUGAGGCGCGAAAGCGUGGGGAGCAAACAGGGAUUAAGAA
rnacentral:rRNA from 1 species